rnacentral:rRNA from 1 species
UACGAAGGUGGCAAGCGUUGUUCGGAAUUAUUGGGCGUAAAGGGCGCGUAGGCGGUGCGGUAAGUCUGAUGUGAAAUCUCCGGGCUCAACUCGGAGUCUGCAUCAGAAACUGCCGUGCUUGAGUGUGGGAGAGGUGAGUGGAAUUCCCGGUGUAGCGGUGAAAUGCGUAGAUAUCGGGAGGAACGACCUGUGGCGAAAGCGGACUCGCUGGACCACAACGUGACGCUGAGGCGCGAAAAGCUAGGGGAGCAAACAGGG